AGGUGGAGUGCGUAACAGUACCAUGCCCCUCUCUCCUCCAAACUGGAUCAGGAAAAGCGGCCUUGCUGGGCAAUGAUUCAAUCCAAAAGGCAAGAGCUCUUUCAGAAGUACUUUUCAGAAAGGCAAUAUCUCUUUUACUGGCCAAUGGGGUUCUCUCUUCUAAAAUUGGACUAAAAUUUCCCAGUGGGUUCUCCAAUUUAACUCUUUCUAAAACCUUUAGAAGCUAUGAAAGAAAGGGAAUAACCUUCCACUUGUCAUGUACAUCCUCUUAAGGUCUUCUCUCUUCUAUGUCAAAGCAUCGCAAAAUUACACAGUCUAUCAUUUAGUGUUGGAUAUUCCAAGGUAUAACUUCCUUCUCUACAUAUAUAUUCAUUUUGUAUGUUUUUCUAAUUUGUGAGGGUGAUUUCUGCCUGUACGUAUUAAUUGAUCCAUAUAUAAAAUACCAGCACUCAAAUUUUGUCAAAGAGGUUGGCCUGUUAAAUGUAGCAUUGUGGUGCUCAACAGAUUCUAUUUACAAUUUUAGUGUUCAAGUACAAACAAGUUAUACGCAUAUUUCAAACUCACUGGUGGUGUCAAUCUUGAUUCACUUUUUUUGGAUUCAGCAGCUAUAUGUUAUAGGCAUAUUCUCACUGUAAAAAUGCCCUAAAUGUGAGGCCUUGACUUACCUUUUCUUUUUGAAAUUAUUACUUUGCCAUUGUUUCGAUGUUACCACCACCACAUGGUUGUACUCUUCCACAUAAGAUCGACUCUACGUUUAAUCUGUAGUAAUUUAGUUGACUGAUUUUGCAUGCUAAUAAUUCAAUAGAUGGGCACAACUUUUUUUGGAGGGAAAUAGAUGGUUACAACUUAACAAUGUUGGGUGCAUUAUGUUCUGUCAAGACUUAAUAUAUGGGGGCUAUCGGUCAUGCACCUUUUCUUCUUUUGUAUUUGGGAGUAUUUUGUAUAUUUUGUGCAAUAUGAUUUGUGAAAUAUUUUUGGCCAAAUAUGUUUUUCGCCAUCUGCGGAUGAUUUUGGAAAACAUAGGUUGACAUUGAUAUCAAUCUAUCUAAAGAAAAUGAUAUUGAUUCUUCCUCGUGCUCUAUUAUUAGUGAUCCUGUAACAACUUUCUUAUCCAUUCAUACAAGUCAAAGAUGCGCACAUUGUUGCUUCCUUGUGCUUUGUUAAUAUUGAUUUUCUAAUGGAUUUUUAUAGAUAAAUUUAUGUGCAUGGCACAGAUUAACAGUUUGGCCAGGCUUUUGUACUGAGCGAUGUCAUUUUGAAAAAAAAAACUGAAUAAACUACAGCCCAUCAGACGAGAAAAGGCUGAUUCUGCCAAUUCAAGUUCGAUGUCUGGCUAGGUGUCUUGUGCAGACUUGACAUGGGCUAUGUUGGACACUAGCAAGUGUUCCCAAUCACAUCUUAAAGAAAUUCAAGUUCGCUGCAGGAAAGGUUUGCUCUUUCAAAAUCAAUGCACUUGUGAGUACCAAGCUGAAUAAGGUUUAUUAUGCAUGCUGAAUAAGUUUCAUUUUUCAGAAACUUGUCAAAGGACGAGACGACGGACUUUAGAGAAUUUGACUCCCAGUAUAGUGAUAAAUAGAGGGAAAAUUAACCUUAAGGUCCUAAGGGCUGCUUUAUAAAAGCUUUGUACCAAAUUUACUGAAUUAGAAAUAACAGUUGAUACAGCUGGUAUGUUAAUCUCACAACCCUGACGUUGAACAUUUCCUUCUUUUGUCCUGUAUAUGCACACUUACCUUCCUGCAACUGUAUGUACUUCCUCUGUAAGGAAAUAUAAGAGCGUUUAGAAUACUAAAGUAGUGAUCUAAAUGCUCUUAUAUUUCUUUACGAAGGGAGUAUUAACUAGCCAAUUGCUUUCAUUUAAUUAUCAUUAUUCUGGAACAUGUUGCUCACUUUAUAUUAAACAUUUUAAUUAGAAUAAGCUAUCCAAGGAGGUUUUAUUAGGAAAAUUUAGUUUAUGUGACUUCUUUUAUUUGAACAAGCAUACGCAUCUCCAUUUUUUCAUUUUAGUUGUUUAUUUGUAUAGUUGGAACAUUAGUUUGGUGUGAGUUUCAGCUACCUGCUUGUUAUUGAAACUGCAAGAACUCGCUAGCUUUUGUCAAAAGAAAUGGAAUGUGAUGGAAGUAAACGAAGAUAAGGUGUUUUUGUUGAUCCUUGUGUCUGAUUUUAGGGGGUGUGUGUGUGUGCCUAAUCACUGUAAAUAGUAAAUACUCUACAUUUAUGACAGCGAAAUCCUUGUGAAUAUGGACAGAUGGAGGUGUAUGAACGGGCAGUUCUUGCAGUUACUUAUUCAGUGGACAUAUGGUGUAAUUAUUGUCAGUUUGCGAUUUCAACAUACAAUGACCCAGAUGUCAUCAGAAGGUAGCAAUUGAAUAUCGGGACUAUUCCGAUGAAGUUUUUUUAAUAUAUUUUUAUAGUGUCUUGACUUUUGUUAACUACCGCAUUUUAGGCUGUAUGUGUAUAUAUAGGAAUACAUACAUGGCAAGAAGGGAUUUUACAAUACCUAGGACCUGCACAGGAAUGCUUGAUGAAAUGCUUUAUAAUAUUUUAGCACUGUUUUUCGGCGGUCCUUGUGGUAGGAAAGUGAUCCAUUCUUCGAAAACUCAUCUACUACUACUCACCAAAUCACAUCGUUCCAUAUAUGGACUAACUGAGAAUCUGGGAUUUUUCCAUCAAUCGCACUGCCUUUCCAUCUCCUCCAUCAACAAGCGAUCAAUCUUCCACAUCGCAAAAAAAAGAAGAGAGUCAAUCUUCCAAAUCACUUCAUUCCAUAUAUGGACUAACUUGGAAUCUGGGAUUCCAUCGAUCGCGCUGCCUACAUGCCCCUCCAACAAGCGAUCAAUCUCAACACAGAAGGCUCUUUGUUUUCUUGACGCUCGUGGCUUUUGUAGCAAAUUCUAUUUGUUCUUCGCCGCUUUGGGUUGUGGGGCUUACUUCCUAGCCCCGCCUGCUUGUUGUACCACCGCCCACUUUGUGGCUCUAGCGCCAGCGCCAGCCUGGGACAUCUCUCUAUCCGGGCCGGCAUACCGGGAUGUUGCAGGGCCGCCGUCACCUCGAGAAGGGGCGAGGAGUCCAUCGUAUGCCCAGUUGAUGUCCCUGGGUACUCACUGUGGCACGAAGAGUCCCUCACCGUUGUCCUCUUCGACCAGCAUAACAACGACGGGUCAGCCUGUGCACACUACAAACUGAGGGCGCAGAUGUGCCACGCACAAGACACAAGGGUGACAAGGCCAGGAGCGGCAGCAGGCGGCGGUGGAGCACGCAGCAAGGUGGAUUUUCUGAAGAUCUUGUGAUUUUCUAAAGAACAUGUCUGCUUGUUCAGGAGGCAAAUAACUGAAGCUGAAGGCUCUUUUCUGAAUGAUGAUAAAUCUAGGAGAGGAUGACGAAUUAGUUUGUGCAAAUCUCCCACUGAUUUGUGUCCUCGAAGUCCUUUCUUGCAUGGUUUUUAUAAUACGGAUUAGACAUUUCUUGCUUGCAAACAACUUAUUGCAUCUCUUCUUGUUGCAUGAACAACCAUAUAUAUACUCCUAGAGCGGCAGAGCUAAUGCAUCAGGAUAGGCAAGCAUCAUGGCACAUUGGUGCAGUGCAUCUUGAAGGAUAACAACAGUAUCUUACGAGAGUGGAACAACAUUUUCAAUCGGCAAAAUGAUUUGGUGUAAUACAAGCUUCCUGGGGAAAUCUGGUUUAGCUUUCAGUCCAGCUUUGAUGAUAAAAUAACAUCAGCCUACCUCGAACAUAACUUUAAUAAAGAAAUCUUUGCAAGGAAUAUGUGUGAUCUCGGAGGAGCCAAGUUGCAAGGAGCUAAUGGGACACGAAAUGCUUGUUUUUCUUUGCUCUGAUCUUUCAAAUUUGUGGAUAAAAUUUCACCCAACUAUAAUAUGAUGUCAUCAAAUGAUACAGAAUGCCAAUACUACAUGUUGUUUUACUA